UUGUAAAUACAUUAAAAAUAAAUUACUCGUAAUUUUAAGGCGAGUAGCUCCCCCCAUCUAUUUCCUGUUCCGGUUCGCGAAGCGCUCGUAGAUUUUCAGCUGCGUAUGAGAAACCAUCACGUUGCAACAACGGUGAGAAAGAAAAAAGUUUACCAUCGGAUGGAAAAGUGCCCGAAAACUUUGUGCUUGAGCUCGGAUAAAGUCCUCCAACCCUUCAGUGCUGCCGAGUGAUCGCCGAUUUCGAAAGUGGCGAAAAGUGAGUUUACUCAGCUUCAUAGCUGUAAAGUUGUUAGCCCGCGUGCUACUGUUAGCUUUAGCAUCACGUUGCUAACACGUAGCAGCUACGUCGCCGGGAAGCGCGGUGUUUGAGUCAGCUCUUACUUCGUCUGAAAGAGUCUGGCGAUUAGCUUGGGUGCAGCUGUGCUGAGUGUCUGAGCUCAAGUGAUUUGGAGAUUGGUCAGGUUUUUUUCCCCCUCCUUUUGUGUACCCCCCUCGACCUCAUUGGUAUAUUCCGGAGCGGAUAUUCUGAUAGUCAUGAUGGCGAGCCUCCCACCUGGAUCAGAUGGAAAGGACUACACCUCUUCUGUGAUCACUGGAUUUUGCUUUGUGUGACCUACAGUGCGGUAGGCCAGAACUAAGAACACUGUCACUCAUCUGUGAGCACCAGCCCUAGCAGCUAUUUAUUUUAUUGUGAAAGUUUUUGACCGACUUAGACUGACUUGGACUAGUUUUUUCUUUGACCUAUUUUAUUUAAUUUGCUACUCUUGGGUUGGUGUGGGACAGAAAGGAAACCCUCCUUUAAGACAUCUGAUAGUGAACUGAACUGCGAAUCCUACUCAUCAGCCUGAGUUGUUUGUGAACACUGAGAACAGGCAGUGAAAGAGAUUUUUUUGUGAACAGUUGGCCAAAGAACAAACAAAGAACAAAAACCCGAGUCAUUAAGUGUCCACAUAUAUUGUAUUGUCUUAAUUAUUUGUGUUACUGUCUUUUAUUGUCUUUUAUAUAUAAAACCGGUAUAUGUUCAAGCAUCA